AAUCGGACCCUUUCCGGUGAGGGAACCUCUCUCCAGACAUGAUCAAGAGAAACUGGCGAGGGACUGACAUGAUCUAGCUUACCUUGGGUCACCGAACGGAUUUGGCAUGUGACAUAAUUAUCCCAGCGAUCACUAAAACUGUAAAUUUGGAUGCAAUUAAGAGAGAAAACUCCACACAUUUAUGGAAAUUUAAGAUGGGGCUCCCUGAUUCUGUCAAAAUAGCAAAAACACAGAAGAGAAAGAAGUAACAUCCUUAUCAUACAGAUCUUUCACUUCC
rnacentral:lncRNA from 1 species